AAAAAAAAAAAAAAAAAAAAAGAAGGGUCUUGGUCAUUGAUUUAGAGAAUUCUUGUUCUUUGUAGCUUAGUUGAGUUGUCUGACUUGAGCUUUUUUUAGACCCAUGGGUUCUUUGCCCAUGUUCUGAGGACUUUUUAUUUCAGGCCCUGCUCUGGGGGGAUAUUAAGGAUACAGCAUCACAUGGACACUCGGUGUUUCCGUGAUAGGCAUAGUUCUGUGGGGUGUUCGAAGCCCUUGCAUAUGCGGUUUUGUGUGCCCUGUGAGAACGCAGUGCUGGUAUUUGAAUCCUUGUUGAUAGACGCAUAAACUAGAGCUCAGAGCAAGGGCUGCUCCCAGCACGGGAGCCUGGGAUCUUCUGACUCCAGCUCCCACGCCUCUUUGCAUGACCCUGUCACGUCCCCUUCUUUUAUGAUGGGGCACCCCCUUGUUGGAAGGUGUCUGUGGAAGUGGAAGCUGCAGAAAGCCUGUGGGAGCUCCUGGCGGGAGCUGGUCUCAUGUUGGUACUCUGAGCCGCCAGCUCUGCUUUGCCUCAGGCUCACCAGUGGCCUGGGCAGCUCCUCUGUGCUCCGGUGCCCUGCAUACCUUGGUCUGGCUGCUGUGUCCCGGCCUCCUGGAGAAGGGGUGAAAAACAUGAACUUACAGGGCUUUGGGUUCCACGUGCAAGCACGUGAGUCAGACGUGGGAGGCUCCUGGACCCACCUGCCCUCUCAGUGGGUCCGUUGCAUGCUAUAAACAGUGAAAAGCAAAACAAAGCCGUUCAAAUACGGAUGCUCUUCUUACUUGAUGUGCAGUGUGGAGGGAGAGAAGAUAGGGAAGGGUUGGGGGGCCUGAGAACCACCAUUGUGACCCUAUUUCCAUUCUCUUUUUUAGGGAACAUUAAGCAAAAUCCCAAUACACAGAGUCUGUCACAGACAGGGACGGAGCUGAAGACCAUCAACGACUUUCUCUUCCAGAGCCGGAUCGACAACAUCAACCUGUUCAAGGUGCAGCGAUACUGUGAGAAGAGCAUGAUCAGCAGAAAGCUCUUUGGAUUCACUGAACGGUACGGAGCAGUGUUCUCAUCCCGGGAGCAGCCCAAACUGGCUGGGUUUCAGCAAUUCCUGCAGAGCCUGCAGCCCAGGACGACUGAAGCUCUUGCAGCCCCUGCAGACGAGAGUCAGGCCAGCACCCCCCGACCAGCUUCCCCACUGAUGCACAUCGAAGGCUUCCUGGCAGCUCUCACUACGGCCAACCAGGACGGCAGGGUCAUCCUGAGCCGCCAAGGUAAUCAGGUGGUUCUUGGCCAGGUUCAGUUCCCAGGAAGGAGCCAAGCUGAGCCCGGGAGCCGCAGCGUGAAAGGAUUCUUUCCUUCCAUCCUGGGAACUUCCUGGGUUAGGAGGAAGCAGUGCAGUGGGCACUGGCCUGCUGUGACCUGGGCAAGCAGUGAAGGUGGAUGGGAGGAGAUCGAGGGGCUGGGAUGAGGGUCCCGUGACCAGGGUAAGCAGUGGAGGUGGACGGGAGGAGAUCGAGGGGCUGGGAUGGGGGUCCCGUGAGCAGGGUAAGCAGUGGAGGUGGACGGGAGGAGAUCGAGGGGCUGGGAUGGGGGUCCCGUGA
rnacentral:lncRNA from 1 species